rnacentral:snRNA from 1 species
ACAAUUACCUGGCAUGGGAGCUGCCAUGAUCACAAAGGUAGUUUCCCCGUGCAACAUUUCUAUUGCACUGGGAUGUGCAAUUUCCACAUCUGGGAAAACUAGACAGCGUCACUUAAGGCAAUUGGGGAUCUGGGGGGUGGAGAGAGCAGUUUGCACUCCUGCUUUCCCUUA